CCUACAGGCUAUCUACUGCUCAGUAUAUGCGAUCUGUCUGAGCUAAUCUACAUUAAAACAACUCCUCAUUCAAUUUGCAUAGGAGCAGCAACAAAUGCAGCAUCCGUAGCUCCUGUCUCGACGCUAAGGCUAUGGGUCUACAGAGGACACAGUUCACCUGUGUAAGCUGCCAGUGUGAGAAUGAAGAUCGCUGUGAUUUUCCCGUUGCUGCUGCUGGUCUGCUCUGGAGAUUGCAAACCAACAGCCUUUUCCACAAGACAUCCUUGCUGUGCUGAGAGAGAUGGCCGCUACUUUGACUCAACAGAAGUUUGAGAUGAGAUUGCUGCAAAGAGAGAAUAAAGAACUUGCAGCAGAGCUGAAGAAGCAGGAGACUGAGGUUGACAAGCUGAAGCAGCGGCUGAAAGGUACUGUGUGGAAAUCAACAGAAAUAAAUGUAUUGACUCGAAUAUUAUUUACUGAAAACUGCUGCCAUAAUUAGUAUGUGC
rnacentral:lncRNA from 1 species